UUAUGUGAUCAAAAUGAUCGUGAGCACAU
rnacentral:sRNA from 1 species